UACGAAGGGGGCUAGCGUUGCUCGGAAUUACUGGGCGUAAAGGGCGCGUAGGCGGACAUUUAAGUCAGGGGUGAAAUCCUGGAGCUCAACUCCAGAACUGCCUUUGAUACUGAGAGGCUUGAGUCCGGGAGAGGUGAGUGGAACUGCGAGUGUAGAGGUGAAAUUCGUAGAUAUUCGGAAGAACACCAGUGGCGAAGGCGGCUCACUGGACGACUGUUGACGCUGAGGUGCGAAAGCGUGGGGAGCAAACAGG
rnacentral:rRNA from 1 species